AUUGGACUGUUGCAGAUUCUUGCCGUAGGAUGCGCUGUCGUCAAGUGUACCUUUUGUGACUUUGUGAGGUUGGUUUUGUGUUGUGCUCAUGUGCUGUGAAAAGUCAAUUUUUCGAUACCGUUAAACCGUUUUGGACUUGAAAACUCCUGGAGCGAAAAUAUGGGCUUCCUGACUUGGGCGGUUGUUUCGGUAGUUGGCGGUGCGGUCGCCAUGACUGGAGUGGGCUUACCCGUUGCGGGUUUACUAGGAUUUUCAGCGGCUGGACCCGUUGCUGGGUCCUUAGCGGCAGGGGCCCAGGCGUAUGUGGGAAACGUCGCAGCUGGCUCAGCCUUUGCAGCAGUGCAAGCAUUAGCCAUGGCCGCUCCAACGCCUUGAAACGGUAUUGCUUGCUGUCUGACUGGAAAAGGGAGUAUAUUUUUAAUUUCAGCAGAUUUUAGUCAUGUACCUGCCAUCUUCAUACAAAUUCUACCUAUCUAAAAAAAAUGUUAAUAUUUCAACUUUAUAAUUUUGUAAAUUUAUCAGUCAGUACAGGUACUUGAAUAAACAAAAAUGCUUAUUCUGAAAAGUC